rnacentral:rRNA from 1 species
GUUUGAUGUUCUAACGUGGACCCGUGAUCCGGGUUGCGGACAGUGUCUGGUGGGUAGUUUGACUGGGGCGGUCUCCUCCUAAAGAGUAACGGAGGAGCACGAAGGUUGGCUAAUCCUGGUCGGACAUCAGGAGGUUAGUGCAAUGGCAUAAGCCAGCUUGACUGCGAGCGUGACGGCGCGAGCAGGUGCGAAAGCAGGUCAUAGUGAUCCGGUGGUUCUGAAUGGAAGGGCCAUCGCUCAACGGAUAAAAGGUACUCCGGGGAUAACAGGCUGAUACCGCCCAAGAGUUCAUAUCGACGGCGGUGUUUGGCACCUCGAUGUCGGCUCAUCACAUCCUGGGGCUGAAGUAGGUCCCAAGGGUAUGGCUGUUCGCCAUUUAAAGUGGUACGCGAGCUGGGUUUAGAACGUCGUGAGACAGUUCGGUCCCUAUCUGCCGUGGGCGCUGGAGAACUGAGGGGGGCUGCUCCUAGUACGAGAGGACCGGAGUGGACGCAUCACUGGUGUUCGGGUUGUCAUGCCAAUGGCACUGCCCGGUAGCUAAAUGCGGAAGAGAUAAGUGCUGAAAGCAUCUAAGCACGAAACUUGCCCCGAGAUGAGUUCUCCCUGAGACUUUAGGUCUCCUGAAGGAACGUUGAAGACGACGACGUUGAUAGGCCGGGUGUGUAAGCGCAGCGAUGCGUUGAGCUAACCGGUACUAAUGAACCGUGAGGCUUAACCUUACA